UUAUUUGGAUAUGAACCAAAGAUCAACUAUUAAAACAUUUUUAAGUCUGGAUCCAGACUUAAAAAUGUUUUAAUAGUUGAUCUUUGGUUCAUAUCCAAAUAAA